rnacentral:rRNA from 1 species
UUUCCAGACUCCUACGGGAGGCAGCAGUGGGGGAUAUUGCACAAUGGGGGAAACCCUGAUGCAGCGACGCCGCGUGUGGGAAGACGGUCCUCUGGAUUGUAAACCACUGUCCCCAGGGACGAAGAUGACGGUACCUGGGGAGGAAGCUCCGGCUAACUACGUGCCAGCAGCCGCGGUAAUACGUAGGGGGCAAGCGUUAUCCGGAUUUACUGGGUGUAAAGGGAGCGUAGGCGGCGAUGCAAGUCAGAAGUGAAAGCCCGGGGCUCAACUCCGGGACUGCUUUUGAAACUGUGUUGCUAGAUUGCAGGAGAGGUAAGUGGAAUUCCUAGUGUAGCGGUGAAAUGCGUAGAUAUUAGGAGGAACACCAGUGGCGAAGGCGGCUUACUGGACUGUAAAUGACGCUGAGGCUCGAAAGCGUGGGGAGCAAACAGGAUUAGAUACCCUUGUAC